rnacentral:tRNA from 1 species
AGCUUAUAUAGUUUAAAAAAAACAUAAAUUUUGUAAAUUUAAGAUAUUUUAAUUCAAAAUCAAAUUAAAGCUA